CUAUAACCAUCAAAUCACACACAUUCCAGAGAACAUAUAAAUGAGGGAAAGAGAGAAAAAAAAUCCUUGGAGUUGAGCUGCGUCUGUACGUCGAAGAUAGUUCAAGGAAAUCGCCUCCUCCUUCCCCAAAUCGCUUCCGCCAUCGAUCGCCAAGGUCCAGCAAUAGACGUCUUCAUGCCGAAAACGUGCCAAAAACAUUCUGUGUCAGAAUGGUUUGAAAUUCGAACGGUGCUUGCGAAUCGGGCUUAGAAAUCAAAAGCAACACGACAUUGUCGCAUUGAUGGACAAUGGAUUUUAGCCAUCUGACAUCAUGUAGGGGGCGAAAAAGAUAAUAUAUUAUUAUUUGAUAUUUAUUUUUAAGUUUCUAGUUUUCAUUUUAUUUCCUUUGAGUUUUUAGUGUUUUCUAAACGCUUAUAAAUAGUGGAUAUCAUUAUUUUUA